CCACCAAAUGUCACUGUAAAGUUCAUUGUUGCAGAAUAUUGUUCCAGGAUGGUUUUUCUCUCCAGUAGGAAAUCUAUAUUCCUCUUCUUCUGAUCCUUCCUAUUAACCACUUUUUCUGAGUUGUAGUUAACAAUCUGUGUCUUGUACUGUGAGGUGCUUUGAUAGUCAAUCUGGUUUUGUCAGUACCAUGUUCCAUCUUGAAAAA